rnacentral:rRNA from 1 species
ACGGGUGAGUAACACGUGGGAAUCUACCCAUCUCUACGGAACAACUCCGGGAAACUGGAGCUAAUACCGUAUACGCCCUUUGGGGGAAAGAUUUAUCGGAGAUGGAUGAGCCCGCGUUGGAUUAGCUAGUUGGUGGGGUAAAGGCCUACCAAGGCGACGAUCCAUAGCUGGUCUGAGAGGAUGAUCAGCCACACUGGGACUGAGACACGGCCCAGACUCCUACGGGAGGCAGCAGUGGGGAAUAUUGGACAAUGGGCGCAAGCCUGAUCCAGCCAUGCCGCGUGAGUGAUGAAGGCCCUAGGGUUGUAAAGCUCUUUCACCGGUGAAGAUAAUGACGGUAACCGGAGAAGAAGCCCCGGCUAACUUCGUGCCAGCAGCCGCGGUAAUACGAAGGGGGCUAGCGUUGUUCGGAAUUACUGGGCGUAAAGCGCACGUAGGCGGAUUGUUAAGUGAGGGGUGAAAUCCCAGGGCUCAACCCUGGAACUGCCUCUCAUACUGGCAAUCUCGAGUUCGAGAGAGGUGAGUGGAAUUGCGAGU